rnacentral:tRNA from 1 species
UCUGUGAUAGCUCAGGGGUACAGCCCCAACUGGUAAUUGGUACGUUGCGGGUUCAAAUCCCGUUUGCGCAG